rnacentral:pre_miRNA from 1 species
AAUAGUUUUAUGCUACAUCAGUAUUCUUACCCAGAAUUUCAGGAUUUUAUGCUGAAAAAAAUUAAAUUCAAAUUAAAAUCCUGAAAUUCAGGAUAAGAAUAUUGAUGUGGUAUAAAACUAUU